GACGAACGCUGGCGGCGUGCUUAACACAUGCAAGUCGAACGGAAAGGCCCUGCUUUUGUGGGGUUCUCGAGUGGCGAACGGGUGAGUAACACGUGAGUAACCUGCCCUUGACUUUGGGAUAACUUCAGGAAACUGGGGCUAAUACCGGAUAGGAGCUCCUGCUGCAUGGUGGGGGUUGGAAAGUUUCGGCGGUUGGGGAUGGACUCGCGGCUUAUCGGCUUGUUGGUGGGGUAGUGGCUUACCAAGGCUUUGACGGGUAGCCGGCCUGAGAGGGUGACCGGCCACAUUGGGACUGAGAUACGGCGCAGACUCCUACGGUAGGCAGCAGUGGGGAGUAUUGCGCAAUGAGCGGAAGCGUGAUGCAGCAGCGCCGCGUGCGGAAUGACGGCCUUCGGGUUAAGAACCGCUUUCGCCUGUGACGAAGCGUGAGUGACGGUAAUGAGUAAAGAAGCACCGGCUAACUACGUG
rnacentral:rRNA from 1 species